rnacentral:misc_RNA from 1 species
AAUUCUCAAACCUUCUUGGUCUCUCAAUCAAGAUGGCUUUGGACUUGGAGGCAUUUGCUGGCUUUGUGAAAAGCCAGCUCCUCUUAAAUGCAUUAGUGGGGUCCCCUUUGCCAAUCCUGAGGUGUGAUAAGUCACUUCUACAUCUUAGGAUUUGCUCUGUUCCUUGGGAACCCACUUCUAACUGUCUCACGGGAGACAUCGUUCAAGCUUGCUUGACCCACAAA